rnacentral:miRNA from 1 species
UGUCCUCUAGGGCCUGCAGUCU